rnacentral:rRNA from 1 species
AGUGAACGCUGGCGGUAGGCCUAACACAUGCAAGUCGAACGGCAGCACAGUAAGAGCUUGCUCUUACGGGUGGCGAGUGGCGGACGGGUGAGGAAUACAUCGGAAUCUACUUUUUCGUGGGGGAUAACGUAGGGAAACUUACGCUAAUACCGCAUACGACCUACGGGUGAAAGCAGGGGAUCUUCGGACCUUGCGCGAUUGAAUGAGCCGAUGUCGGAUUAGCUAGUUGGCGGGGUAAAGGCCCACCAAGGCGACGAUCCGUAGCUGGUCUGAGAGGAUGAUCCGCCACACGGGAACUGGGACAGGGUCCAGCCUCCCACGGGGGGCAGGAGUGGGGAAUAUUGGAAAAGGGGCGCAAGCCUCAUCCCGCCAUACCGGGUGGGGAAAGAAGGCCUUCGGGUUGUAAAGCCUUUUUGUUGGGAAAAAAAAGCAGCAGGUUAAUCCCCCGCUGUUCUGACGGUACCAAAAAAAUAAGCACCGGCAAACUUCGU